AUUGAACGCUGGCGGCAUGCCUUACACAUGCAAGUCGAACGGUAACAGGUCUUCGGAUGCUGACGAGUGGCGAACGGGUGAGUAAUACAUCGGAACGUGCCCGAUCGUGGGGGAUAACGAGGCGAAAGCUUUGCUAAUACCGCAUACGAUCUACGGAUGAAAGCGGGGGAUCUUCGGACCUCGCGCGGACGGAGCGGCCGAUGGCAGAUUAGGUAGUUGGGGGGAUAAAAGCUUACCAAGCCGACGAUCUGUAGCGGGUCUGAGAGGAUGAUCAGCCACACGUGGACUGAGACAAGGCCCAGACUCCUACGGGAGGCAGGAGUGGGGAAUUUUGGACAAUGGGCGAAAGCCUGAUCCAGCCAUGCCGCGUGCAGGAUGAAGGCCUUCGGGUUGUAAACUGCUUUUGUACGGAAAGAAAAGCCUCUUUCUAAUAAAGAGGGGUCAUGACGGUACCGUAAGAAUAAGCACCGGCUAACUACGUGCCAGCCGCCGCGGUAA
rnacentral:rRNA from 1 species